CACGUAGGCACCAAGCGUUGUCCGGAUUUAUUGGGCGUAAAGAGCUCGUAGGCGGUUCGGUAAGUCGGGUGUGAAAACUUUGGGCUCAACCCAAAGCGUGCACUCGAUACUGCCAUGACUCGAGUUCGGUAGGGGAGUGGGGAAUUCCUAGUGUAGCGGUGAAAUGCGCAGAUAUUAGGAGGAACACCGGUGGCGAAGGCGCCACUCUGGGCCGAAACUGACGCUGAGGAGCGAAAGCGUGGGUAGCAAACAGG
rnacentral:rRNA from 1 species